AGUGAACGCUGGCGGUAGGCCUAACACAUGCAAGUCGAACGGCAGCACAGUAAGAGCUUGCUCUUACGGGUGGCGAGUGGCGGACGCGUGAGGAAUACAUCGGAAUCUACUUUUUCGUGGGGGAUAACGUAGGGAAACUUACGCUAAUACCGCAUACGACCUACGGGUGAAAGCAGGGGAUCUUCGGACCUUGCGCGAUUGAAUGAGCCGAUGUCGGAUUAGCUAGUUGGCGGGGUAAAGGCCCACCAAGGCGACGAUCCGUAGCUGGUCUGAGAGGAUGAUCAGCCACACUGGAACUGAGACACGGUCCAGGCUCCUACGGGAGGCAGCAGUGGGGAAUAUUGGACAAUGGGCGCAAGCCUGAUCCAGCCAUACCGCGUGGGUGAAGAAGGCCUUCGGGUUGUAAAGCCCUUUUGUUGGGAAAGAAAAGCAGCAGGUUAAUACCCCGCUGUUCUGACGGUACCCAAAGAAUAAGCACCGGCUAACUUCGUG
rnacentral:rRNA from 1 species